GGUUGAUCCUGCCGGAGGCCAUUGCUAUCGGAGUUCGAUUUAGCUAUGCUAGUCGCACGGGUUUAGACCCGUGGCGAAAAGCUCAGUAACACGUGGCCAAACUACCCUAUGGAUCGGAAUACCCUCGGGAAACUGAGGACAAUUCCGAAUACCGCUCCUGCACUGGGAUGUGCGGAGCUCGAAAUACUACGGUGCCAUAGGAUGUGGCUGCGGCCGAUUAGGUUGACGGUGGGGUAACGGCCCACCGUGCCCAUAAUCGGUACGGGUUGUGAGAGCAAGAGCCCGGAGACGGUAUCUGAGACAAGAUACCGGGCCCUACGGGGCGCAGCAGGCGCGAAACCUUUACACUGCACGACAGUGCGAUAAGGGAACUCCGAGUGCGAGGGCAUAGAGCCCUCGCUUUUGUACACCGUAAGAUGGUGCACGAAUAAGGGCUGGGCAAGACCGGUGCCAGCCGCCGCGGUAAUACCGGCAGCCCAAGUGAUGGCCGAUAUUAUUGGGCCUAAAGCGUCCGUAGCUGGCCGGACAAGUCCGUUGGGAAAUCCGCGUGCUUAACGCGCGGGCGUCCAGCGGAAACUGUCCGGCUUGGGGCCGGAAGACCUGAGGGGUACGUCCGGGGUAGGAGUGAAAUCCUGUAGUCUCGGACGGACCGCCUGUGGCGAAAGCGCCUCAGGAAGACGGACCCGACAGUGAGGGACGAAAGCCAGGGUCUCGAACCGGAUUAGAUACCCGGGUAGUCCUGGCUGUAAACGAUGUCCGCUAGGUGGUGGCGCAGGCUACGAGCCUGCGCUGUGCCGUAGGGAAGCCGUGAAGCGGACCGCCUGGGAAGUACGUCUGCAAGGAUGAAACUUAAAGGAAUUGGCGGGGGAGCACUACAACCGGAGGAGCCUGCGGUUUAAUUGGACUCAACGCCGGACAUCUCACCAGUUCCGACAGCAGUAAUGACGGUCAGGUU
rnacentral:rRNA from 1 species